rnacentral:lncRNA from 1 species
UGCUCAUUGUUGUCUUCCACCAGAGCACUGAGGAACACACCGAGGAGACUGUUACUAAGCAAUGACAGAAUUCAGACCCCAACACCCUGCUCAUCCCCCACCCGCACUACGUGCUAUGCCACUUGGGAGCCCGGUGGGUGCCUGGAGAAACGAGGCAGCUCUAGCAGGCAAAGAAACUGCUCCAAAUGCAUUAAAGCAGACAGGAAUUUCCCUCUCUCUUCUUGCGUCAAGUGAAGGCAUGAAAGCACGUCAUGGUCCUUUGUGGACCAGCGAACACAACAGACGGAGCACAGGCUGAGAGGGAGUGAGCAGCGGGGAGGAGCAGCCUCACGGUGGAGAUGCCAGGUGAGCAAGGGCAGCACCAAGUGCCGCAAGCGGCAGUGAUAGCUGCCUACCUCUGUACAGUGUGAUGAGGACGGGGCGAGCGUUAGUCUCAGCUGGCCUUGAGAGACAUCUAGAUUUGUAACGCACACUUCUGGGUGUGUCUGCUUGGGUCCUGGGGACGUGAUCAACGGGACAGUUUCCCGUCCCAGUCCCCCCCGGCUCUGGCUCUUUCCUGCUUCUGCUUCUCCGAUGACAUGAG